rnacentral:rRNA from 1 species
GUGAGGAAUAUUGCGCAAUGGAGGCAACUCUGACGCAGCCAUGCCGCGUGCAGGAAGAAGGCGCUACGCGUUGUAAACUGCUUUUAACCGGGAAGAAACCCCAGGACGUGUCCUGGGUUGACGGUACCGGAGGAAUAAGCACCGGCUAACUUCGUGCCAGCAGCCGCGGUAAUACGAAGGGUGCAAGCGUUAUCCGGAUUCAUUGGGUUUAAAGGGUGCGUAGGCGGAGCGUUAAGUCAGUGGUGAAAUCCUGCAGCUUAACUGUAGACUUGCCAUUGAUACUGGCGCUCUUGAGUGCGCUUGAAGUGGGCGGAAUGUGUCGUGUAGCGGUGAAAUGCUUAGAUAUGGCACAGAACACCAAUUGCGAAGGCAGCUCACUAAGGCGAUACUGACGCUGAGGCACGAAAGCGUGGGGAUCGAACAGGAUUAGAAACCCGGGUAGUCC